rnacentral:rRNA from 1 species
AGAGUUUGAUCAUGGCUCAGGAUGAACGCUGGCGGNGUGCCUAAUACAUGCAAGUCGAGCGGUAAGGCUCCUUCGGGAGUACACGAGCGGCGGACGGCUGAGUAACGUGUAGGAACGUACCCCAAACUGAGGGAUAACUGCUCGAAAGAGUAGCUAAUACCGCAUGUGCUCUACGGAGUAAAGCUACGGCGGUUUGGGAACGGCCUGCGCACGAUUAGAUAGUUGGUGAGGUAAUGGCUCACCAAGUCGACGAUCGUUAGCUGGUCUGAGAGGAUGAUCAGCCAGACUGGGACUGAGAACGGCCCAGACUCCUACGGGAGGCAGCAGUAGGGAAUUUUCCACAAUGGGCGAAAGCCUGAUGGAGCAACGCCGCGUGCAGGAUGAAUGCCUUCGGGUUGUAAACUGCUUUUAUCUGUGACGAAUAUGACGGUAGCAGAUGAAUAAGGAUCGGCUAACUCCGUGCCAGCAGCCGCGGUCAUACGGAGGAUCCAAGCGUUAUCCGGAAUUACUAGGCGUAAAGAGUUGCGUAGGUGGCGCUGUGUGUCAGUAGUGAAAGCGUGUGGCUCAACCAUAUACACAUUACUGAAACUGCAGAGCUAGAGGGCGAGAGAGGUUACUGGAAUUCCUAGUGUAGGAGUGAAAUCCGUAGAUAUUAGGAGGAAUACCGAUGGCGUAGGCAGGUAACUGGCUCGUCCCUGACACUAAGGCACGAAAGCGUGGGGAGCAAACGGGAUUAGAUACCCCGGUAGU